UACGAAGGGGGCUAGCGUUGUUCGGAUUACUGGGCGUAAAGCGCACGUAGGCGGCUUUCUAAGUCAGGGGUGAAAUCCUGGAGCUCAACUCCAGAACUGCCUUUGAUACUGAAGAUCUUGAGUUCGGGAGAGGUGAGUGGAACUGCGAGUGUAGAGGUGAAAUUCGUAGAUAUUCGCAAGAACACCAGUGGCGAAGGCGGCUCACUGGCCCGAUACUGACGCUGAGGCACGAAAGCGUGGGGAGCAAACCGGG
rnacentral:rRNA from 1 species